CAGAAUCGGGGUCGCAUAGUUUGGUACAUUUUUGUACUUCCUGGAUGCAUGGCGAACCUUGAACUAUGGGACUCUGUCAUGAUGUCUCUUUUUAAUUCAUUGUCGUCUGGGACACACAUUCUGUCCUUGAAACGAAUCAAUCCGUCGGCAGAGAUCUGAAAUUCUGAGUUCACUCCCUGUUCUGCAUCCUUCUUGCGGUUUACUAGGGCGGGGUCGAUUGACUGGGCUUCCUUUAUUCUUUGGAUUAACUCGGGUUGGACUGCUAGGUGGUUCAAA
rnacentral:lncRNA from 1 species